UACUAUGCUUGGGCCAAAACUCAUUCAGUUAUAGUAGACUCACAUCUGACUGCUUAGAAUCACAUAUUAUCGCAAAUCCAACUACAUCAUUGACAUUGAAAAACAUAGGACAAGCAUUUUGCAUACGAUAAC
rnacentral:pre_miRNA from 13 species